UCCCGGGGCUUAACCCCGGAAGUGCAUAUGAAACUAUGAAACUUGAGUAUGGGAGAGGGAAGCGGAAUUCCUGGUGUAGCGGUGAAAUGCGUAGAUAUCAGGAGGAACACCGGUGGCGAAGGCGGCUUCCUGGACCAAUACUGACGCUGAGGCGCGAAGGCGUGGGGAGCGAACAGGAUUAGAUACCCUGGUAGUCCACGCAGUAAACGUUGAUCACUAGGUGUGGCGGGUAUUGACCCCUGCUGUGCCGGAGUUAACGCAUUAAGUGAUCCGCCUGGGGAGUACGAUCGCAAGAUUAAAACUCAAAGGAAUUGACGGGGGCCCGCACAAGCGGUGGAGCAUGUGGUUUAAUUCGACGCAACGCGAAGAACCUUACCUGGACUUGACAUCCC
rnacentral:rRNA from 1 species